GACAGAGGGUGCAAACGUUGCUCGGAAUCACUGGGCGUAAAGGGCGUGUAGGCGGGAAGGAAAGUCAGAUGUGAAAUCCCUGGGCUCAACCCAGGAACUGCAUUUGAAACUCCCUUUCUUGAGUGUCGGAGAGGAAAGCGGAAUUCCUGGUGUAGAGGUGAAAUUCGUAGAUAUCAGGAGGAACACCGGUGGCGAAGGCGGCUUUCUGGACGACAACUGACGCUGAGACACGAAAGCCAGGGGAGCAAACGGG
rnacentral:rRNA from 1 species